rnacentral:lncRNA from 1 species
CUGGGAUUACAGGCAUGUGCCACCAAACCCAGGGCUAUCAAUAUUAGACCUGCAUCUACCAGACCUCAAGGUCUUAGACAACAACAGCUGGCUGAUGGCCACCUCAGACCACGCAGAAAAGGUCUGGCAAGGCAGCUUCUGCUCCUGGGGAAAUUACAGAACGCACACUGCUCAGUGUAGUGUGGAAUUCAUCUUUCCCCCCAGGAUCCAAAUCAGGAUACCACCUUAAAUUUAACAUAAUGCCCUUAAAAAUGAAAAAGGUCAGAACCAAGCUCUAUCCACAGAAUCAAAUCAAAAUUUCACUUUGGCAUCCUUCUUUUGCUCACCCUUCACCCUGUUCCCCACCCGUUGUAUGUGCACUCAGCUAGCUCUAUGUUUCCUCUGUACAUCCUUCCUGCUUGAAUUUGAUAGUCUCAAUUUUUCAGUCAAGUUAGUUCUUAACAAUUUUGAGGUCAUGGGACCACUCUGAGAAUCUAAUAGAAGCUAUGGAGUCUCUGAGAACACUGCACAGAUAAAAACAAUUUAGCAUCCAAUUUCAGAGCAGUCAGAUACUAAUCCACUUCCCUCCUCCCCAAGGGCCUCUAAGUAUAGAACCACCUUGCACAGUUUGGCUUCCCCAGGCAUUGAUUCUGCAAUAAAAUCAUCACAACUCACUAUCAAUCCCUCUUCCAAGGCAAUUUCUCCAGAUCCUGCACAUUGUGCAGUGCUCCAUACUCUGGGUCUUGGCCAACCUUAGCUGUCCAGCCACUGCCUCGGGCUGAAGCUGAGAAGGGCUGGCUGGGCAGAGCUCUUCCACUGGGCCCUGAAGGCAGCUGGACUCCCUCUCCAGCCAACUUGGCUGUGAGCAUAGAACCCCCACAAAUUCUGCUUGACCCAACACCUCUUCUGAGCCCACUUUCUCCAGGGGUGGGUAGAAAUAUCUCAGAAUGUUAAAACUUCUCAGUCCGCAAGCCAUGUUAUCAUCUGGAUUUCAACAAAGAAAAGUGACUCCAGCAUGCAGAGUGGGAUCAACUUGCUCUACCAACUCUGGAUCUUCUGUCAUCUGGAAAUGACGGGGAUCUUGUACUCACGGGCAAUGCCUGCCUACUAUUAUCUUUGGAAUCAGCAUGUGAGGCCCCCUACAGUGCCUCAUCCAUCUGACUCAUGCCGAAGAUGGUCCAGGCGUCACCUGAGCUAUGCUACCUUUGGUAAAGACCCAUGCAGGCUUCUCUUUGCCCUGGAGUCACACUUUCUCCCCUAUUGACACCCCAGCCAGGAUCACACCAAUACCUCCAACAUCAAUCAGAAGUCAACAAGAAUGGAAAACAGACUAAAGUAACUUCUAUGGACAGGGCUGGGUCUA